UACGGGGGGGGCAAGCGUUGUUCGGAAUUACUGGGCGUAAAGGGCUCGUAGGCGGCCAACUAAGUCAGACGUGAAAUCCCUCGGCUUAACCGGGGAACUGCGUCUGAUACUGGUUGGCUUGAAUCCGGGAGAGGGAUGUGGAAUUCCAGGUGUAGCGGUGAAAUGCGUAGAUAUCUGGAGGAACACCGGUGGCGAAGGCGGCAUCCUGGACCAACACUGACGCUGAUGAGCGAAAGCCAGGGGAGCAAACGGG
rnacentral:rRNA from 1 species